GCAAAUGAGCCAUCAAAAACAGACGUUUCAUUCACAGCACACUUGAGACUUUCGAAAAAACGCAAAUUCGUCGCACACAGAUACUCUGUUAUCACUUGUGGAGCGGUUUGGGAGUUGUAACACACUGAAUCCAGGGUCCACCAGUAUCAGUUGUAUAAGAGGAAUGUUCACAGUCAGGAUGUAUCUAAUAAGGAUUACAACACGUUUCUUGGUGAUGUCCAUCUUUCUCGCAACUUUUGCAGGAGCACACACUCUACAAAGGCCUGACUGGAGAUUUGCCUGAUCUAUCCGUCCUUCAGCGGUUCACUUCAAGAGCAGGUGAAGCAAGUGGGACAAUG